rnacentral:misc_RNA from 1 species
GAUGAAGAACGCAGCGAAUUGCGAUACGUAAUGUGAAUUGCAGAAUUCAGUGAAUCAUCGAGUCUUUGAACGCACAUUGCGCCCCCUGGUAUUCCGGGGGGCAUGCCUGUCCGAGCGUCAUUGCUGCCCUCAAGCACGGCUUGUGUGUUGGGCCUCCGUCCUCCUCCCGGGGGACGGGCCCGAAAGGCAGCGGCGGCACCGCGUCCGGUCCUCGAGCGUAUGGGGCUUCGUCACCCGCUCUUGUAGGCCCGGCCGGCGCUUGCCGACACAUCAAUCUUUUUUCCAGGUUGACCUCGGAUCAGGUAGGGAUACCCGCUGAACUUAAGCAUAUCAAUAAGCGAGGA